AGUUUGUUGGUCUAGAGGUAUGAUUCUUGCUUUGGGUGUGAGAGGUCCUGGGUUCAAAUUCCAGAUGAGCUC
rnacentral:tRNA from 1 species